UACGGAGGGUGCAAGCGUUAUCCGGAUUCACUGGGUUUAAAGGGUGUGUAGGCGGGCUGUUAAGUCAGUGGUGAAAUCUCCGGGCUCAACCCGGAAACUGCCAUUGAUACUAUCAGUCUUGAAUAUCGUUGAGGUUGGCGGAAUAUAUCAUGUAGCGGUGAAAUGCUUAGAUAUGAUAUAGAACACCGAUUGCGAAGGCAGCUAACUAAGCGAUGAUUGACGCUGAGGCACGAAAGCGUGGGGAUCAAACAGGAUUAGAUACCCUGGUAGUCCACGCCCUAAACGAUGAUUACUCGACAUACGCGAUACACAGUGUGUGUCUGAGCGAAAGCAUUAAGUAAUCCACCUGGGAAGUACGUCCGCAAGGAUGAA
rnacentral:rRNA from 1 species